AUUGAACGCUGGCGGCAGGCCUAACACAUGCAAGUCGAACGGUAGCACAGAGAGCUUGCUCUCGGGUGACGAGUGGCGGACGGGUGAGUAAUGUCUGGGAAACUGCCUGAUGGAGGGGGAUAACUACUGGAAACGGUAGCUAAUACCGCAUAAUGUCGCAAGACCAAAGAGGGGGACCUUCGGGCCUCUUGCCAUCGGAUGUGCCCAGAUGGGAUUAGCUAGUAGGUGGGGUAAUGGCUCACCUAGGCGACGAUCCCUAGCUGGUCUGAGAGGAUGACCAGCCACACUGGAACUGAGACACGGUCCAGACUCCUACGGGAGGCAGCAGUGGGGAAUAUUGCACAAUGGGCGCAAGCCUGAUGCAGCCAUGCCGCGUGUAUGAAGAAGGCCUUCGGGUUGUAAAGUACUUUCAGCGGGGAGGAAGGGCUUGAGUUUAAUACGCUCAAUCAUUGACGUUACCCGCAGAAGAAGCACCGGCUAACUCCGUGCCAGCAGCCGCCGUAAAAC
rnacentral:rRNA from 1 species